rnacentral:rRNA from 1 species
UACGUAGGGACCGAGCGUUGUCCGGAAUCAUUGGGCGUAAAGAGCGUGUAGGCGGCCACUUAAGUCCUGCGUGAAAUCUUGCGGCUCAACCGCAAGCGGUCGUGGGAAACUGGGUGGCUAGAGUGCGGGAGAGGAGAGUGGAAUUCCUGGUGUAGCGGUGGAAUGCGCAGAUAUCAGGAGGAACACCGAUGGCGAAGGCAGAUCUCUGGGCCGUAACUGACGCUGAGGAGCGAAAGCGUGGGGAGCGAACAGG